rnacentral:rRNA from 1 species
GACGAACGCUGGCGGCGUGCUUAACACAUGCAAGUCGAACGGAAAGGCCCUGCUUUUGUGGGGUGCUCGAGUGGCGAACGGGUGAGUAACACGUGAGUAACCUGCCCUUGACUUUGGGAUAACUUCAGGAAACUGGGGCUAAUACCGGAUAGGAGCUCCUGCUGCAUGGUGGGGGUUGGAAAGUUUCGGCGGUUGGGGAUGGACUCGCGGCUUAUCAGCUUGUUGGUGGGGUAGUGGCUUACCAAGGCUUUGACGGGUAGCCGGCCUGAGAGGGUGACCGGCCACAUUGGGACUGAGAUACGGCCCAGACUCAUACGGGAGGCAGGAGGGGGGAAUAUAGAACAAUGGGCGGAGGCAUGACGCAGGAACGCCGCGUGCGGGAAGAAGGCAUUCGGGUGGUAAACCGCUUUCGCCUGUGACGAAGCGUGAGUGACGGUAAUGGGUAAAGAAGCACCGGCUAACUACGG